rnacentral:rRNA from 1 species
GACGAACGCUGGCGGCGUGCUUAACACAUGCAAGUCGAACGGAAAGGCCCUGCUUUUGUGGGGUGCUCGAGUGGCGAACGGGUGAGUAACACGUGAGUAACCUGCCCUUGACUUUGGGAUAACUUCAGGAAACUGGGGCUAAUACCGGAUAGGAGCUCCUGCUGCAUGGUGGGGGUUGGAAAGUUUCGGCGGUUGGGGAUGGACUCGCGGCUUAUCAGCUUGUUGGUGGGGUAGUGGCUUACCAAGGCUUUGACGGGUAGCCAGCCUGAGAGGGUGACCGGCCACAUUGGGACUGAGAUACGGACCAGACUCCUACGGGAGGCAGCAGUGGGGAAUAUUGCACAAUGGGCGGAAGCCUGAUGCAGCAACGCCGCGUGCGGGAUGACGGCCUUCGGGUUGUAAACCGCUUUCGCCUGUGACGAAGCGUGAGUGACGGUAAUGGGUAAAGAAGCACCGGCUAACUACGUG